CGACGGACGCGCGCUCUGCUCUCGUCUACAUCGCAUACGAAGUGAUGUGAAGUUAUUUUGUUUUGUUUUAUUUCGUUGAUUUACGUAUACGAAGAAUUUAAAUCAAGUGAUCAGUGAAAAGUUUAUAAAAACCUUUAAAAUUUGUGUAGUAAUUAUUGACAAAGUUCUUCAAACUUGGACGAGAUAUGAAGUUAAUGACAAUACACACUGAGUUCCAAGGAUCAUUAUGCAUGAAGAAGAUUUGAAGACAGAAAGAGUAGAGUUCCUUGGACGAUACGCAAAUACUCCCACAGACUGCCGAUGUUUGUUCUGGAUGUCUUAUCACUUGAUAAGUUAGAACACAAGCCUCGCGCAAACAACCUUAUCAUGGUAACAUUCUUACUGGAGACACAAAACUACUCCAUAGAAUCCAUUGCAAUCAGGCGUGACGCACGGAAUACCUGAAUUAAUUUUAAGCAGCCAUCUCUAAACGUAGUCAUGGAGGAAAUUUUGUUAGUGCAUAACAUUAAUUAGUUAUAUUUAUCAGUGCAAGUGUAUAUAUGCCAAAGAACACACCAAAUUUACAUCUCAAACUAGUCAGAUAAUAUCAUCAAACUGGAGGACUUACAAACAUUGGAAGGCGCAGAGACUGUGGUCGAGAAUGCGAGCGUUAGGGCACAAGAAUGCCUGGAGCAGAAC